rnacentral:pre_miRNA from 1 species
CUUGUAAUCCCUCCGUCCGAAAAUACUUGUCAUUGAAAUGGAUGUAUCUAGAUGUAUUUUAGUUCUAGACACAUCCAUUUUGAUGACAAGUAAUUCCGGACGGAGGGAGUACUUG